rnacentral:rRNA from 1 species
UACGAAGGGGGCUAGCGUUGUUCGGAAUCACUGGGCGUAAAGCGCACGUAGGCGGAUUUGUUAGUCGGGGGUGAAAUCCCGGGGCUCAACCCCGGAACUGCCUUUGAUACUGCAAGUCUCGAGUCCGAUAGAGGUGGGUGGAAUUCCUAGUGUAGAGGUGAAAUUCGUAGAUAUUAGGAAGAACACCAGUGGCGAAGGCGGCCCACUGGAUCGGUACUGACGCUGAGGUGCGAAAGCGUGGGGAGCAAACAGG